rnacentral:rRNA from 1 species
CCUACGGGGGGCAGCAGUGGGGAAUAUUGGACAAUGGGGGCAACCCUGAUCCAGCCAUGCCGCGUGUGUGAAGAAGGCCCUCGGGUUGUAAAGCACUUUCAGUGAGGAAGAACGCCUGGUGGUUAAUACCCAUCAGGAAAGACAUCACUCACAGAAGAAGCACCGGCUAACUCCGCGCCAGCAGCCGCGGUAAUACGGAGGGUGCGAGCGUUAAUCGGAAUUACUGGGCGUAAAGCGCGCGUAGGUGGCUUGAUAAGCCGGUUGUGAAAGCCCCGGGCUCAACCUGGGAACGGCAUCCGGAACUGUCAAGCUAGAGUGCAGGAGAGGAAGGUAGAAUUCCCGGUGUAGCGGUGAAAUGCGUAGAGAUCGGGAGGAAUACCAGUGGCGAAGGCGGCCUUCUGGACUGACACUGACACUGAGGUGCGAAAGCGUGGGUAGCAAACAGGAUUAGAUACCCUAGUAGUC